UAAAGCAUCCGUAAGCCGGCUCUGUAAGUUUUUCGGUUAAAAUCCAUGUGCUCAACGCAUGGGCUGCCGAAAAUACUGCAUAGCUAGGGAGUGGGAGAGGUAGACGGUACUCGGUAGGAAGGGGUAAAAAUCCUUUGAUCUAUCGAUGACCACCUGUGGCGAAGGCGGUCUACCAGAACACGUUCGACGGUGAGGGAUGAAAGCUGGGGGAGCAAACCGGAUUAGAUACCCGGGUAGUCCCAGCUGUAAACGAUGCAGACUCGAUGAUGCAUUGGCAUAUAGCCAGUGCAGUGUCGCAGGGAAGCCGUUAAGUCUGCCGCCUGGGAAGUACGUACGCAAGUAUGAAACUUAAAGGAAUUGGCGGGGGAGCACCACAAGGGGUGAAGCCUGCGGUUCAAUUGGAGUCAACGCCAGAAAUCUUACCCGGAGAGACAGCAGAAUGAAGGUCAAGCUGAAGACUUUACCAGACAAGCUGAGAGGUGGUGCAUGGCCGUCGCCAGCUCGUGCCGUGAGAUGUCCUGUUAAGUCAGGUAACGAGCGAGAUCCUCGCCACUAGUUGCUAUCAUUAUUCUCAGGAAUAGUGGGGCGAAUUAGUGGGACUGCCGUUGUUAAAACGGAGGAAGGAGGGGGCUACGGCAGGUCAGUAUGCCCCGAAACUCUGGGGCCACACGCGGG
rnacentral:rRNA from 1 species